UACGGGGGGAGCAAGCGUUGUUCGGAUUUACUGGGCGUAAAGGGCGCGUAGGCGGUCGUGACAAGUCACUUGUGAAAUCUCCGGGCUUAACUCGGAACGGCCAAGUGAUACUGUCGGACUAGAGUACAGAAGGGGCAACUGGAAUUCUCGGUGUAGCGGUGAAAUGCGUAGAUAUCGAGAGGAACACCUGCGGCGAAGGCGGGUUGCUGGGCUGAUACUGACGCUGAGGCGCGAAAGCCAGGGGAGCGAACAGG
rnacentral:rRNA from 1 species